GAUGGGAGCUUGCUCCCUGAUGUUAGCGGCGGACGGGUGAGUAACACGUGGGUAACCUGCCUGUAAGACUGGGAUAACUCCGGGAAACCGGGGCUAAUACCGGAUGCUUGUUUGAACCGCAUGGUUCAAACAUAAAAGGUGGCUUCGGCUACCACUUACAGAUGGACCCGCGGCGCAUUAGCUAGUUGGUGAGGUAAUGGCUCACCAAGGCAACGAUGCGUAGCCGACCUGAGAGGGUGAUCGGCCACACUGGGACUGAGACACGGCCCAGACUCCUACGGGAGGCAGCAGUAGGGAAUCUUCCGCAAUGGACGAAAGUCUGACGGAGCAACGCCGCGUGAGUGAUGAAGGUUUUCGGAUCGUAAAGCUCUGUUGUUAGGGAAGAACAAGUACCGUUCGAAUAGGGCGGUACCUUGACGGUACCUAACCAGAAAGCCACGGCUAACUACGUGCCAGCAGCCGCGGUAAUACGUAGGUGGCAAGCGUUGUCCGGAAUUAUUGGGCGUAAAGGGCUCGCAGGCGGUUUCUUAAGUCUGAUGUGAAAGCCCCCGGCUCAACCGGGGAGGGUCAUUGGAAACUGGGGAACUUGAGUGCAGAAGAGGAGAGUGGAAUUCCACGUGUAGCGGUGAAAUGCGUAGAGAUGUGGAGGAACACCAGUGGCGAAGGCGACUCUCUGGUCUGUAACUGACGCUGAGGAGCGAAAGCGUGGGGAGCGAACAGGAUUAGAUACCCUGGUAGUCCACGCCGUAAACGAUGAGUGCUAAGUGUUAGGGGGUUUCCGCCCCUUAGUGCUGCAGCUAACGCAUUAAGCACUCCGCCUGGGGAGUACGGUCGCAAGACUGAAACUCAAAGGAAUUGACGGGGGCCCGCACAAGCGGUGGGAGCAUGUGGGUUUAAUUCCGAAGCAACGCGGAAGAACCUUACCAG
rnacentral:rRNA from 1 species